AUUUAGCCCCGAUAGAGCCGGUAUCCUCGUAAUCCCGAUGACUAUCGGGAUGAAGAGAUAAAGGCGAAAGCGGGACUGAAG
rnacentral:sRNA from 1 species